AUUGAACGCUGGCGGCAGGCUUAACACAUGCGAGUCGAGCGGAGCGGCGGACGGGUGAGUAAUGUCUGGGAAACUGCCUGAUGGAGGGGGAUAGCGUACGGAAACGGGAGCUAAUACCGCAUAAUAUCAGCUGAGCCUAGGUCGGAUUAGCUGGUUGGUGGGGUAAAGGCCUACCAAGGCGACGAUCCGUAACUGGUCUGAGAGGAUGAUGAGUCACACUGGAACUGAGACACGGUCCAGACUCCGACGGGAGGCAGCAGUGGGGAAUAUUGGACAAUGGGCGAAAGCCUGAUCCAGCCAUGCCGCGUGUGUGAAGAAGGUCUUCGGAUUGUAAAGCACUUUAAGUAGGGAGGCGUUACCAACAGAAUAAGCACCGGCUAACUUCGUGCCAGCAGCCGCGGUAAUAC
rnacentral:rRNA from 1 species